UGCUACAGUCUAAACCAAUAACCUGCAUAGAAAGAUGCAUCACUUUCUGUGAGUUAUUAAACAUUAUUAUUAGUAUCAUCCUAUUUGGAGCCUAAAAGGGACAAUUACUCGGUCAAACAUAGGUUGAGACAAGCAUAGUAAGCUUUAUCAUGAAGUAACAUAAAAUCAAAUAUCAAACAAAAAUUCAGAUUUUUCAAUAAACCUGGCUGCUUUGUUUUAUCAGCCAGUACGUGUACAUGUGUGUAUGUUUCUUAACAAACAUAAUAAAUACAGUGGCAAAAGAUAUCAAGACCUAAAUAAUUCAGAAUAGCUUCCAAAGUACAGGAACCAAUAUGGA
rnacentral:misc_RNA from 1 species